ACUAGUAUGUUAGUUAGUUUGUAUUGUAUGCGAUGAUUCGAGUAUAUAUAAACGUUACCUUAAGCUAAAAAAAUUAGAAUAGCCUAGACAAGAAGUCGAUUCGCAACAAAGAUUUAAACACAAAAUUAUUGCAAAAUGAAAAUUGAAAUUAUCUGCGCACUGGCGAUUGCAGUGACAUUGGUUGCAGCUAGAGAAUUAAAUACAAAUAGUCUAACGUUUAUCAAGAAUGCAGAAGGAUGGAGAAGUUGCGCGUAUUUGGACUCUGCUCGAAAAUGGACCAUCGGUUAUGGACAUUUAAUCAAGCCUAGUGAUGGUCUUACGAAAAGCAAAACAACGUGCAUUUCGGAAGCACAAGGCGAGCAAUAUCUUAAAUCUGAUAUCAAAACUGCCACCAAUUGUAUUGAUCGACUUGUGAAAAAACCACUUACGGAUAAUCAAUAUGGUGCACUUACUUCGUGGGCAUACAAUGUUGGUUGUGGUAACGCUGCGGAUUCCACUUUAGUCAGAAAAUUAAAUCAAGGAGCCAACGCAGCCGAAGUAUGCAGCCAACUAAAGAUGUGGAGAAAAGCUGACGGAAAGGUAAAUCAGGGCCUGGUUAAUCGUCGUAACGCCGAAUGUGAACUUUAUUCGUCUUAAAUGGAUUAGAGAAAAAUACUUUCCCCUUACACACUAGUUGUGUGCGGAAAAGUGAAAAUAGAAUUACAUCUACAAUCUUCUAUUUAAACAUAAUCAAUUGAUUUAGCUAUAUUAAAAUAAUUAAAUCAGCUAUAAUAUAUUGGAUUGUUAGAAACUCUAAAA